rnacentral:rRNA from 1 species
GAUGAACGCUGGCGGCGUGCCUAAUACAUGCAAGUCGAGCGAACAGACGAGGAGCUUGCUCCUCGGACGUUAGCGGCGGACGGGGUAGUAACACGUGGAUAACCUACCUAUAAGACUGGGAUAACUUCGGGAAACCGGAGCUAGUACCGGAUAAUAUAUUGAACCGCGUGGUUCAUUAGUGAAAGACGGUUUUGCUUUCACUUAUAGAUUGAUCCGCGCCGCAUUAGCUAGUUGUUAAGGUGACGGCUUACCAAGGCAGCGAUGGGUAGCCGACCUGAGAGGGUGGUCGGCCAGCCUGGAUGUGAGGAAGGCUACAGACUCCUACAGGAGGACGCAGUAGGGAAUCUUCCGCGAUGGGGGAGAGCCUGACGGAGCAACGCCGCGUGAGUGAUGAAGGUCUUCGGAUCGUAAAACUAUGUUAUUAGGGAAGAACAAAUGUGUAAGUAACUAUGCACGUCUUGACGGUACCUAAUCAGAAAGCCACGGCUAACUACGUG